rnacentral:lncRNA from 1 species
CCUUGUUAUUAUGAUGUCUCCAAAUCACUUGUUCUGUUGGGUUCAUUCUUCUUUCUUUUUAAAGCUUAUAACUUAAUCCAUGCACAAUUAGACAGAAAACUCUCCAGUCUCAUUUACAAUCUUAAUCCAAAAGCAUACAUUUUAAUUUAAGACUCCAGUUUUUACACCUUGAAAACUGCACUUUAAAUUUAGCAAAUUAAACAAACUGCACCUUUCAAUUU